rnacentral:rRNA from 1 species
AUUGAACGCUGGCGGCAUGCCUUACACAUGCAAGUCGAACGGCAGCACGGGUGCUUGCACCUGGUGGCGAGUGGCGAACGGGUGAGUAAUACAUCGGAACAUGUCCUGUAGUGGGGGAUAGCCCGGCGAAAGCCGGAUUAAUACCGCAUACGAUCUACGGAUGAAAGCGGGGGACCUUCGGGCCUCGCGCUAUAGGGUUGGCCGAUGGCUGAUUAGCUAGUUGGUGGGGUAAAGGCCUACCAAGGCGACGCUCAGUAGCUGGUCUGAGAGGACGACCAGCCACACUGGGACUGAGACACGGCCCAGACUCCUACGGGAGGCAGCAGUGGGGAAUUUUGGACAAUGGGCGAAAGCCUGAUCCAGCAAUGCCGCGUGUGUGAAGAAGGCCUUCGGGUUGUAAAGCACUUUUGUCCGGAAAGAAAUCCUUGGCCCUAAUACGGUCGGGGGAUGACGGUACCGGAAGAAGAAGCACCGGCGAACUACGU